AGAAACUCCACAUACUUUGCAGAGGUCAUCUUUACACCUUCGGGGGCCCUAAAGGGACCAACCAGCACUCUUCCCAUGAUUCCGGCCCAAAACAUGACUACACCACCGCCUUGCUGACGUCGCAGCCUUGUUAGAAUAGGGUGGCCGUCCACCAACCAUCCACUACUCCUUCCAUCUGGACCAUCCAAGGUUGCACAGCACUCAUCAGUGAACAGGACUGUUUGAAAAUUAGUCUUUAUGUAUUUUUCUGCCCAAUUCAGCUGUUUCUGCUUGUGAGCAAUGGUUAGUG